UAGGGAAUCUUCGGCAAUGGACGAAAGUCUGACCGAGCAACGCCGCGUGAGUGAAGAAGGUUUUCGGAUCGUAAAACUCUGUUGUUAGAGAAGAACAAGGACGUUAGUAACUGAACGUCCCCUGACGGUAUCUAACCAGAAAGCCACGGCUAACUACGUGCCAGCAGCCGCGGUAAUACGUAGGUGGCAAGCGUUGUCCGGAUUUAUUGGGCGUAAAGCGAGCGCAGGCGGUUUCUUAAGUCUGAUGUGAAAGCCCCCGGCUCAACCGGGGAGGGUCAUUGGAAACUGAGAGACUUGAGUGCAGAAGAGGAGAGUGGAAUUCCAUGUGUAGCGGUGAAAUGCGUAGAUAUAUGGAGGAACACCAGUGGCGAAGGCGGCUCUCUGGUCUGUAACUAACGCUGAGGCUCGAAAGCGUGGGGAGCAAACAGG
rnacentral:rRNA from 1 species